rnacentral:rRNA from 1 species
UACGAAGGGGGCUAGCGUUGCUCGGAAUGACUGGGCGUAAAGGGCGCGUAGGCGGUUUGUAAAGUCAGGUGUGAAAUUCCCGGGCUCAACCUGGGGGCUGCACUUGAUACGUAGGAACUGGAGUGGGGAAGAGGGUCGUGGAAUUCCCAGUGUAGAGGUGAAAUUCGUAGAUAUUGGGAAGAACACCGGUGGCGAAGGCGGCGACCUGGUCCUUGACUGACGCUGAGGCGCGAAAGCGUGGGGAGCAAACAGG